rnacentral:rRNA from 1 species
AUUGAACGCUGGCGGCAUGCUUUACACAUGCAAGUCGGACGAGUGGCGAACGGGUGAGUAACAUAUCGGAACGUACCGAGUAAUGGGGGAUAACUAAUCGAAAGCUUAGCUAAUACCGCAUAUUAUUCGAGCGGCCGCUAUUUGAGUAGCUGGUGGGUGGGGUAAAGGCCUACCAAGGCGACGAUCAGUAGCGGGUCUGAGAGGCUGAUCGGCCACACUGGGACUGAGACACGGCCCAGACUCCUACGUGAGGCAGCAGUGGGGAAUUUUGGACAAUGGGCGCAAGCCUGACCGAGCCAUGCCGCGUGUGUGAAGAAGGCCUUCGGGUUGUAAAGGACUUUUGUCAGGGAAGCGGUACCUGAAGAAUAAGCACCGGCUAACUACGUGCCAGCAGCCGCGGUAAUAC